UACGUAGGGGCAAGCGUUGUCCGGAAUAAUUGGGCGUAAAGGGCGCGUAGGCGGCAAGGCAAGUCAGCAGUGGAAGUCCCAUUUUCAAGGUGGGGAGGGCUGUUGAAACUGCGUUGCUUGAGUGCAGGAGAGGUUAUCGGAAUUCCCGGUGUAGCGGUGAAAUGCGUAGAGAUCGGGAGGAACACCAGUGGCGAAGGCGGGUAACUGGACUGCAACUGACGCUGAGGCGCGAAAGUGUGGGGAGCAAACAGGAUUAGAUACCCUGGUAGUCCCU
rnacentral:rRNA from 1 species